GGCUUUUCUCACUAGUCUCCAAAUAAUAUUCCAUAUAGAGGAGCAUUUGUCACCAUCUACAGGGCAAACACUGGAAAGAAAAGACGAUUUUUAUUGGCUAUGUUGGGAUUUAGGGCAAUGCUCAGGAGGUUUUGCAGUUAGUUACUGUGGUGUCUCAGUACCGUAUUACAUAUCGUACCUUGUAUGGUGGUCCCCAAAGUCAGAGUAACUACGUUCAGCUUUCAGACCAUCUCUGUGGGGGGCCCUCAAUCUUAAAAGGUGGGAUCCACAAUGGGAAUAACGCUUUAAGGAUCAACUACCAAAAGAGAGCAUCUUCCUCACUACCAGGAUAUGGGCAGAUGCCAGCUGCCUUCAGUUAAGAAACCUUACUCUGUUCAAGAUAAUCUUUGGUGUUGUGGACAGAGCACAACAUCUAGAAGGGGAUGGGGACGAAGCUCACUGCUAUCAGAUGCUGUGACAAUGACAGGUCACAGUUUACAAGGAGAUCCUGCACUACCAGGAAAGGGAAAGCACAGCUGAAAUGGAAGAUCUGCACACGUUUGAUAAUAACACUAUAUUAGCUUUCUUCUCCAUCAUCUUCUGGGACGACAGUCAUGCCGACUAAUUUGAUGCAUUGUGACCCCCUACCCCUUCAACCUCUGCAGUAAUGCUCGCAGCACUCAUACAUCUACUUCCCAAAGACAACCUUUGGAUAUGGUACUGAGCAUGUGCACUCAACUUCUUUGGUCAGCAAAGACAAGGCCUGUUCUGAGAAACCUGAAAAACCUGUCCUAUCCUCAUAAAGUUCUUUGCCAUGCGGUGCCAUGUUGAACUUCCAGUGACCUGCUCCCCAUUCACACCUGAGACCUUUUAACAUUAAGUCAAAUGACACCAGUGAGGGAAAAUGGAUAAUUGUGCCCAAUUUGAACAUUUAUACUCACCUUUGUUACCAAUGUUUAGAAAGUAAUGGCUGCAUGUUCAGUUAUUUUUAGGGGGCGGUAACAUUAAAUACUGUUAUACAGGCUGUGCACUCUUUACAUUGUAGCUGAGUGUCAUUUCCUCAGUAUUAGCACAUGGGGGUUUCUACUUAAUGAGGUGGGUAUCUGUCACUAGGGGCUUAUACUUAAUAGGAAAAUUACCUAUCUAAUGGGGGCUUCUAUUUAAUGGGGAGGGGGGGGGGGUAUCUGUCACUGAGGGCUUUUACUUAAUGGGGGGAAUUAUCUACCUACUAUGGGCAUCUACAUAACAGGGUUUGAAGCUAUCUACAUACUGGGGCCUUUACCCAAUGAAGGAGAUAAUCAACCUUCUUGUAUCCUCUAAUCUAAUAUUAUCUACCUACUGGGGUCAUCUACCUAACAUGGAAAAUUAUCUACCUACUGAGGCAUCUACCUAAUUGGGGGAUCAUCUACCUGCUGGAGGCAUUUACCUAAUAGAAGGGGACGGCCUUCAGCCAAGCAUGAAACAGACCUCAACUGGCAGGCCGUCGUAGCCUAUGAAGAAGAAAAGAAUCCAGCGCUGGUCUGGAACACUCUCAUAACUAAGAGCAUUGCUGUAUGCUGGAAGCGCAUGGAGAGAAGUGCAGCCUGAGUCUAUGCCUUGAAAAAUUUUUAUGCAAUAUACCAAAAUAAAAAGAACACAAGUUUGCUUCAGAGCAUAGCUGGAUUCUCUUAUUCUUCUUAGGAAAAUGUUUUACCUACUGGGGGUAUUUACUUAAUAAGAGGGUAUUACUUACCCACUGGGUACCUACCUAGAAACCCCUACAAUUCUCCUACUCCUCCCACCAACCCACUUACCUACUCACUCAUACUAUGUAGGGUACAAAGGGUGACAUUAUUUGGGUCACUGUGGGUGGGAAAAAGGUGGGGAAUGGCCUUGAAAAGGUAUAGAACAGAUUCUUGGUUUAAAGAAAUCUUCAUAGCAGUCUGAGACAGACAGAGAAGAGAAGGAAAGUGAACAGCUCCAAGAAGACAUAACCUGUGAGUCAAUGCACUGUAAUCACUUAUACAGUAUGCAGAGCCUGUGUAGAGCUGGGGCAUAUCAAUCUAUAUAGAGUGUUUCUUAUUCAUUAUUAGCAUGGUACAAUUAUCCAGUCACUAUGUGGUGGUAAUGGUAGUGGUCAUGGUGUGGUGCAAUUAUUUCUCCCUUGUACAGUGGUGUUAUUGGUGACAUUGGUUUGUGUAUAGUAGUUUUUAUUUUAUAGCAAUAUAAUGGUGUUAUUAAGUUGGCGCAGUAGUAAUAUGAUGUCCUGAUGUAGAGGUAUUCACAACCAUUGAGGAAAUCUUGAUUAAGCCCUUGGUGUGAGGCACUAGACAAACACUGUUACAUUUGCAGGGCCAAAAAUGACCAUUGAAAUAACAGCAAUUCUUUUCCCACGUGUGCAAUUUAACUGCUAAUUCUCCAGUGACAACAAUGAAACACACUAUUAUAACGAUAUCUGCUGAUUUUUUAAAUUAAAGGAUGUUUUAUUGGUGCUUUAUUGCUAAAAAAUGUCCUUACACAUACUUUUUUCAUGGUGUUUUCAAAAAAGUAUGGUGCAGUUUUUGUGGCCUUCUUUCCAAAAUAGUGUAAUUUAGCACACAAGGUUUUAGGUUACUCUUUUUUUCCAGUGCCAUUUUUCUAAUUACAAGUCAUGUGAUAUGGUCAUAUGAUACAGAAAAUCCGCAGCAGCAGAGUCCCAUUGAUUUCCCACAGCGGAAUUUCUGUAUCAGCCGCGAAAAUUCCGAUUCCAGAUUUCACUGAAAGAAUAGACAUGUCUAUUCUUUCUGCAGAGUCAACACAGAAAUGCAGUGCCAUCUAUGAGAGGGCACAUUUCCGAGUGGUCCUAUCGCCACCAUGUUCUGUUUGCGCUCCACUGUCAGGGGAAUUUUUGGUGCGGACAUUCGCUUGUCUGAACAUAGCCUGAGUCCUUCUAGAAAACAGCUGCUGCUUGAACUUUAGUUGCUGGAUUGUGCCACAUAGAUGCCUAUGUUGCUGAAUUUCACCAACCAGGAAGACUUUGCUCAUAAACCACAUUGUGAAAGCUUAUAGGCCGAUAUUUAUCAUUGUAGGUGUAAGUGAAGCAUUUUCUACACCUUUUAUUUUUUUGUGUGCUGGUAAUGUGUAGGAGCACCAAAUUUAUUCACAGAGCAUUUGAUACAUUUUGUGCAGGUCACAUUUUCUGAAAUUUCUCUUUUCACAUACA